rnacentral:misc_RNA from 1 species
AAAGUCGUAACAAGGUCUCCGUAGGUGAACCUGCGGAGGGAUCAUUCACAUGAUUACUUUCAAAAACAAACUGUGAACUUUAUAUAUACUAUUCGUGUUUUUUUCUGUUGAUUGAAUUUAUUCUUUCACAGUCAAUAACAUUGUCAUUCGAUUGAACAUAAGAUAGUUGGCUUUUUGAAUUUAUUCAAAUUUCUCAGCUUUGAUUUUGAUAUUACUAAACAUUUUAUCAUAUCAACCAUAAACAUAGAAACAACUCUAUGCCCUGGAUAUCUUGGUUCUC